UCUAUUUCUAUUGUCUAUCUGCAAAGAAGCUAACUGCAGUUGGGUACUUGUUUCAAAACAGGAGGAAGAAAAGAGCUGGCUUUGCUAACAAUUGUUGUAGCAGAAUCACAGUGACACUCAAAGUAUUUUGGCUUUGAAAGUUGUCCUUGUACAUUAAUUGACAUAUCUCCGAGAGAAUCAAAUCACAGCAUAUAACUGCAAACCUCUGUUU
rnacentral:lncRNA from 1 species